CUACUUUGUGAAGUGGCUUUCCAUUACGUGUUCAGGACAAGAAUGACCUAUUUUCAUGUGCAAUGAAAUAUGGUUUGUUAGUUUCAACUUCGCCCCCAAUUGUCCAAUUUUUAUCUGGUGUAUUAUGCAUUUUCCGAGAUUUUGGGCGCAGUCCCCUCCUUUGGGUCUUUUCUUCCGCACUGCCACCACCAGCACCACCACCGUAGACAAGGUCAAUUUUAUGACAGAAAAUCGUAUAGAUCCAAAAAGUCUCAUUGGCAGUAUUUUGAUCGACAAUGGUAUAAGCCGGGUGCCACUGCUGAAUCCACUGAUCGUGAUGAGUACCUAAAUGGCUGCAACUUGAUAUCC